rnacentral:lncRNA from 1 species
AUUCACACAAUUCAAUCAAAUUUCAUGGGUUUAACAACAAAAUCAUCAUCAUUCACACAAUUCAAUCAAAUUUCAUGGGUUUAACAACAACAUUUUUAUAAUUCACACAAUUCAGUCAAAUUCCAUGAAUUUAAUAGCAACAUUUUCAUUAUUCCCACAAUUCAAUCAAAUAUCAUGUGUUCAACAGUAACAUUUUCAUCAUUCCCACAAUUCAAUCAAAUUUCAUGGGUUUAACAAUAACAUUUUCAUCGUUCACAAAAUUAUAUCAAUUUCAUGGGUUUAAAAUUAAAAUCAUCAUCAUUCACACAAUUCAAUCAAAUUUCAUGGGUUUAACAACAACAUUUUCAUAAUUCACAAAAAUCAUUCAAAUUUCAUGGAUUUAAUAGCAACAUUUUCAUCAUUCCCACAAUUCAAUCAAAUUCCAUAGG